UGUCCCUUGUGAAGAUGGCGGUGAGGGAUCGCUGCAACCUUUAGACUAAUGACGGUCCGAAACAUCGCCUCCAUCUGUAAUAUGGGCACCAACGCCUCUGCUCUGGAAAAAGACAUUGGUUCAGAGCAGUUUCCAAUCAGUGAACACUAUUUCGGAUUGGUCAAUUUUGGAAACACAUGCUACUGUAACUCUGUGCUUCAGGUGUUGCACUUCUGCCCGCCCGUUCCAGGAGAAUGUGUUGGCAUACAAGGCCCAGCAAAAGAAGAAGGAAAACUUGCUGACGUGCCUGGCGGACCUUUUCCACAGCCCUGCCACGCAACCUUCAAGAAGAAGGUUGGCGUCAUCCCACCAAAGAAGUUCGUUUCAAGGCUGAGAAAAGAGAAUGAUCUCUUUGAUAACUACAUGCAGAAGGAUGCUCAUGAAUUUUUAAAUUAUUUGCUAAACACUAUUGCGGAUAUCCUGCAGGAGGAGAAGAAACAGGAAAAACAAAACGGAAAAUUUAAAAAUGGCAACAUGAACAAACCUGCGGAAAAUAAUAAACCAGAACUCACCUGGAUCCAUGAGAUUUUUCGGGGAACGCUCACCAAUGAAACUCGAUGCUUGAACUGUGAAACUGUUAGUAGCAAAGAUGAAGAUUUUCUUGAACUUUCUGUUGAUGUGGAGCAGAAUACAUCCAUUAUCCACUGUCUAAGAGACUUCAGCAACACAGAAACACUGUGUAGUGAACAAAAACAUUAUUGUGAAACAUGCUGCAGCAAACAGGAAGCCCAGAAAAGGAUGAGAGUAAAAAAGCUGCCCGUGAUCUUGGUCCUGCAUCUAAAGCGGUUCAAGUACAUGGAGCAGCUGCACAGAUACACCAAGCUGUCUUACCGCGUGGUCUUCCCUCUGGAGCUCUGGCUCUUCGACACCUCCAGUGAUGCAGUGAACCUGGACCGCAUGUAUGACCUGGUUGCUGUGGUUGUUCACGGUGGCAGUGGUCCUAGUCGUGGGCAUUAUAUCACUAUUGUGAAAAGUCACGGCUUCUGGCUUUUGUUUGAUGAUGACAUUGUAGAGAAAAUAGAUGCGCAAGCUGUUGAAGAAUUCUAUGGCCUGACAUCAGAUAUAUCAAAAAAUUCAGAAUCUGGAUAUAUUUUAUUCUAUCAGUCAAGAGAGUAACUUAAAAGAACUGUGGGACUAAUUCAAGUGGGGGGAAAUGUUCAAAGCACUAUUACCUGUUUUCUCUGCAGUCUUUCUUCUUCCCUAGUGGCCCACUAAUAGUAUCACUCCAAGUCUCAAUGGUCUGGCUGUGUUAGACUCUCUCCUUUUCUGUUUUUACAUGCAACACUACUCUUGGUUUUAUUUCGGUCUGAGGUAGAGUUAACUGCAAUCAGAUUGUAGUCAGAUUUAUAUGAAUAACAGUUGCUGAUUUUAGGAUUGGGUGAAAGCUAUGCCAUUCGUUAUGUCUGGCUGUAUUAGAAUGACAUUUCCUAUGAGUGUCUACAGUCUAUUUUAAGCGUUUGCUAAACUCCUAGGGCUUCCAGGGUCUUCUUACAAUGUAAUCCUUUAACUUGUCCCUGGAAGCAUUGCUACCCAUUUUCAACUCCUCUGCCUCUUUUCUGAUACAAGGACAGAAGAAUUGGGUAGAUAAUGACCUUUUAGGGUUGCAACUAUAGCUUUAAUAUUGUGCAAGUGGAAAUGUUGAAAAGUGAGUGACCUCGAUACUAAAAUCAUCCUCAACACGGAACAGGGUGAAGAGAGGCUGUCCGUGGUGGCUGGUGCUGGCUGGCAUUGGCACUGGGCUGUGCUGACCUUGCUGUUAGAAUUCCAGGGGUUAAGAAGGCUCAGGGCGGGCAAAGCCAAAAGGCAGAAAUUUUUGUGGACAAUGAAAAGUUACUUUUUGUAACUUUCUACCAAAACCAAGUUUCAGGAAAAUAACUCUAUGCUGUUUAUUUUCAGGCACACUUCUUCUGUAAGGCCCUGUGAGUUGUGUUUAUUCUGUAUCCAGCACUGUAAGCUUUUCAAGGUAUCUUUCCACUCCUGCUGAUGUGUGCAGUCAGUGGCUGCCGGGCUGGCAAACCUCCCCUUAGCCAGUCAGCACCGACAUUGUUCCUUAUCGGGAAUAGCAAAGGCACUGCAUCUUUCCAGCCAUCAGCACAUUGUAC